GAGGCCACAAUUGGUGAAGGAAAACAUGCAACUUUACUCCGUGGAUCAGAAGUGUAGUCAGGCUCUUGAAGCUUAUGCUGCAUGCUUUUCUCAAUUUAAGGUUCCUGGAAAUGAUAAUCCUUUAGUUUUGAUAUCUUUUGCCUCAAAGACACUUAAUGCUGGUCAAAUUAUAUUGAAGCUGCAUGUUAUUGAGCUGGAUGCACAGCCAGGUCUGCAUAUUUUUGCCUCUCACACCUAUCUCUUAUGUUUUCAUUCUAUGGCAACAUGGGUGUUACACAAACGUGUCUUGUAGUAAUAAGUUACUUGUCCUCUC